GAAUAAUAUUCAUAUUAAUCACUCUUGUUUCCUCACGCAGGUAUUAGCCUGAUCAGGUUCCACGGAUCCCAUUAUUAAAUGGUCUCAGCCCUAAAGCACUCCGACAAGAUGUAUCGGAGUAUAGACUGGUAUUGCGCUAAAAAACAAGCAAAAAAAAGCGCCCUAUAAAAGGGCGCCUUUACUAUCUAAUA
rnacentral:misc_RNA from 1 species